rnacentral:rRNA from 1 species
UGCCAGCAGCCGCGGUAAGACAGAGGGUGCAAACGUUGCUCGGAAUUACUGGGCGUAAAGCGCGUGUAGGCGGUUCGUUAAGUUGGCUGUGAAAGCCCUCGGCUCAACCGAGGAAGUGCAUUGGAAACUGGCGAACUUGAGUACGGGAGAGGAAAGUGGAAUUCCGAGUGUAGGGGUGAAAUCCGUAGAUAUUCGGAGGAACACCAGUGGCGAAGGCGGCUUUCUGGACCGAUACUGACGCUGAGACGCGAAAGCGUGGGGAGCAAACAGGAUUAGAUA